rnacentral:rRNA from 1 species
UACGUAGGGGGCAAGCGUUGUCCGGAUUUAUUGGGCGUAAAGAGCGUGUAGGCGGCCAAGCAGGUCAGCUGUGAAAACUCGAGGCUUAACCUCGAGCUGUCGGCGGAAACCAUCUGGCUAGAGUCCGGAAGAGGAGAAUGGAAUUCCCGGUGUAGCGGUGAAAUGCGUAGAUAUCCGGAGGAACACCGGUGGCGAAGGCGGCUUCCUGGACCGACACUGACGCUGAGGCGCGAAAGCUAGGGGAGCAAACGGG